UACGUAGGGUGCAGGCGUUAAUCGGAAUUACUGGGCGUAAAGCGUGCGCAGGCGGUUUGCUAAGACAGGUGUGAAAUCCCCGGGCUUAACCUGGGAACUGCGCUUGUAACUGGCAAGCUGGAGUGUGGCAGAGGGGGGUGGAAUUCCACGUGUAGCAGUGAAAUGCGUAGAUAUGCGGAGGAACACCGAUGGCGAAGGCAAUCCCCUGGACCUGUACUGACGCUCAUGCACGAAAGCGUGGGGAGCAAACAGG
rnacentral:rRNA from 1 species